AGAUAAAGUGUACUUGGGGUUUUUUUUUUCUUUUGACUUUGAGUUGAGUUCCAAAUUUCAGAUCUAGAAGUGAAAAGAUUUUUGUUGGGAUGGCAUUUGCUGUAACAGAUGUGUAUGAGGAAUCUCUCAAAGCUCUGCCUUCUCUCUCUCCUUGUAAAUACCCACCAAACACAAACCCCGGCUCACCGACGAAAGCGCCGGCGAUGACGGAGUUUCAAGGCCCUCCCAUAGACCUCCGCCGGCGAUUUUGUUCUCUCUUUCUCUCUCCUUUGACGGUGACCAACCAACAACCAUCGCCGGUAUGCAUGCUGGAUGAUCGGAGAUUCUCUGCAUGUUGGAUGAUCGGAGAUUCUCUGCCUUGCCUUGCCUUGCCUUUUGUUCCACCCAACUGGUAUCUAUGGUCCUGGAUGCCUAAUCACUGAAAGUUAAUUUUACUCUUACAGUAUAUUUGUUCUCUACGUUCUUCUAUCUAAUGAUUCUAAAUGAACUUUGAUUAAUCGUAACUGAUCUGUAGAAGAAAAUUUUGUAGUUUGUUCUGGAAUAUAUUUUUUUUCUUUGAUGAUAUAUUUCUGGAGUUUUUUCUGUAGAAGUGAACUUUAAUUUCCUUCUCAACUAGAAUUUGGAUAAAAUUUAGAAAGAAUGAGUAGAUAAACAUUGUUUAAUUAUGAGUAGUUGUUUUCAAUUGUGCUCAUUCUUUGCUCUGCUCUUCUGCUCAUCUUCUGUCAUCCUUGGCUUAACUGAAAAUUCUUUUGGUGGUGCUUAAUUCUUACAUUAUAACAUGUAAGCCAUUUGUCCCUGUUUUGCUGCAUAAAUUUCAUCAUUAUGAUUUUUUGGCAUGUUGAGAAUGGUGGUAAAUCUGUCAUGACUCAAGUUUCUGAAAUGAGUUCAAGAUCUUGUCAAUUCACCUGAAAAUGGCUUUAUCAAGCCACCAGCAAAUAGAGUGAUAUCAAAUUAGGUACAAUUAUGUCCUUCCUGGUGUAUACUUCUCAGUUCUCAAUGCUAAAAAUUUCAUCGUAUGGCUUUUGAAAAGCAUAUGGAUCAAUCAGAACUUUGUUUUGUUACUGCUUUCUUGACUACAAUAUACUUUCAACCUUAUUAAUUUGUUUGAAUGAGUAGGGAGAUUGAGCAAAUACAUGUGCAGGAAGAAAUCGACCUACUGGCUUACCUCUACAUAUGUUAAGCCACCAUUCCCAAUUUGAUUGCGCCGCGUGUCAACCCGAUCCCUAAACUAUUUUCAACAUCAUUACAUUUGCCAACUUACCCUAAACUAUUCUAUUUAUCUAAUAUAUAAAGUGAAGAGAGAUUUUGGGUGAUAAAUGUCAAUUUGCCAGAUUACUCCUUCUUACCUUUUUUUUUUUUUUUUUUUUUUUUUUUUUUUUUUUUUUUUUUUUU